GAUGAACGCCGGCGGUGUGCCUAAUACAUGCAAGUCGAACGCGUUGGCCCAACUGAUUGAACGUGCUUGCACGGACUUGACGUUGGUUUACCAGCGAGUGGCGGACGGGUGAGUAACACGUAGGUAACCUGCCCCAAAGCGGGGGAUAACAUUUGGAAACAGAUGCUAAUACCGCAUAACAAUUUGAAUACGCAUGAUUCAAAUUUAAAAAGUAAUGGCUUCGGUCUAUCACUUUGGGUAGUGGACCUGCGGCGGCCAUUAGCUUGUUGGUAGGGUAACGGCCUACCAAGGCUGUGAUGCGUAGCCGAGUUGAGAGACUGAUCGGGCCA
rnacentral:rRNA from 1 species